ensembl:snRNA U2 U2 spliceosomal RNA
AUCGCUUCUCGGCCUUUUGGCUAAGAUCAAGUGUAGUAUAUGUUCUUAUCAGUUUAAUAUUUGAUAGGCCCUCUAACUGAGGACAAUAUAUUAAAUAGGUUUUCGGAGCAGGGAGCUGGAAUGGGAGCUUGCUCCAUCCACUCCAUGCAUUGACCUGGUAUUGCAGUACUUCCAGGAACAGUGCAACACAA